ACUUUAGAAUUGUUUUACUCUCGCUGUUAAUUCAAAAAAAACAAGUUUAAUACAGAGUCUCGUAGCUCAGCUGGUUAGAGUACUACACUGAUAAUGUAGGGGUCGGCAGUUCGAGUCUGCCCGGGACUACUAAAUUAAACAUUAAGGAAAUUCUAGAGGUUAGCUAACCGUAAGUUACUGUUAACUGUUCUGUUAACUAACAACUACACACGGGGGAUUAGCUCAGCUGGCUAGAGCGCCUGCCUUGCACGCAGGAGGUCAUCGGUUCGACUCCGAUAUUCUCCACUAUUCCGAAAGGAACUACCGUUCAUUGACAUAUUGAGAUAAGAAAAAUACAAACAAGUAGAAAGCACAGUUGG
rnacentral:misc_RNA from 1 species